CCUACGGGAGGCAGCAGUGAGGAAUAUUGGUCAAUGGUCGGGAGACUGAACCAGCCAAGCCGCGUGAGGGAUGAAGGUACAGAGUAUCGUAAACCUCUUUUGUCAGGGAACAAAGGCGGGGACGUGUCCCCGGAUGCGUGUACCUGAAGAAAAAGCAUCGGCUAACUCCGUGCCAGCAGCCGCGGUAAUACGGAGGAUGCGAGCGUUAUCCGGAUUUAUUGGGUUUAAAGGGUGCGCAGGCGGUCUGUUAAGUCAGCGGUAAAAGGCCGGGGCUCAACCCCGGCGCGCCGUUGAAACUGGCAGUCUCGAGUUGGAGAGAAGUAUGCGGAAUGCGCGGUGUAGCGGUGAAAUGCAUAGAUAUCGCGCAGAACUCCGAUUGCGAAGGCAGCAUGCCGGCGCCACACUGACGCUGAGGCACGAAAGCGUGGGUAUCGAACAGGAUUAGAUACCCGGGUAGUC
rnacentral:rRNA from 1 species